rnacentral:rRNA from 1 species
AGAGUUUGAUCAUGGCUCAGAACGAACGCUGGCGGCGUGGAUAAGACAUGCAAGUCGAACGCUAAUUAUAUUGCAGCAAUGUAGUGUAGUUGGAGUGGCGCAAGGGUGCGUAACACGUGGGUAAUUUGCCGUGAAGACUGGGAUAACUUGCUGAAAGGCGAGCUAAUACCGGAUGUGGCAAUUGGGAGGCAUCUCCUGGUUGCUGAAGUUGGGGACCGAAAGGCCUGACGUUUCACGAUAAGCCCGCGGCCUAUCAGCUAGUUGGUGAGGUAACGGCUCACCAAGGCAAAGACGGGUAGCUGGUCUGAGAGGACGACCAGUCACACUGGAACUGAGAGACGGUCCAGACACCUACGGGUGGCAGCAGUCGAGAAUUUUUCUCAAUGGGCGAAAGCCUGAAGGAGCGACGCCGCGUGGGGGAUGAAUGGCUUCGGCCCGUAAACCCCUGUCAUUUGCGAACAAACCUCGUUAUUUAAAAGAUGACGAGCUGAUUGUAGCGAAAGAGGAAGGGACGGCUAACUCUGUGCCAGCAGCCGCGGUAAUACAGAGGUCCCGAGCGUUGUUCGGAUUCACUGGGCGUAAAGGGUGCGUAGGUGGUGAGGAAAGUCGGAUGUGAAAUCUCCAAGCUCAACUUGGAAAAUGCAUUGGAAACUACCUUGCUAGAGGUUUGGAGGGGGGACUGGAAUUCUCGGUGUAGCAGUGAAAUGCGUAGAUAUCGAGAGGAACACCAGUGGCGAAGGCGAGUCCCUGGACAACACCUGACACUGAGGCACGAAAGCUAGGGGAGCAAACAGGAUUAGAUACCCUAGUAGUCC